CCAGUCAAAUGAUAAUUUUUAAACAAAAAAUUGUGUAAUGUCCAUUAACAAAAGGACCUAAGAGCCAUGUGUUACAAUUGCUAUAACCUAAAAACAGUUUCUAAACUUAACUGUCAGCCCCACUGCUUAUGCUUCGAUUGUACAGGCCUUUGAAUAUAUAUAUUUUGAUUAUAUGUUUUGAUUAAAGUUUGUUCUUGCCUAGAAAGCGCCAAACCCCAAGGCAUCAUACAGAUGAAAACAAUAACAAAUAUGCUAAUUUCCUUUUAGAUUCCUUUAAUUGGGAUCCACCAGAUCUUUUCCAGAAAAAGGUGAUAUGAUGCAUAUUGGGGCCAUAAUCAACUGGCCUUGAAUGACAGACACCACGGCUUAGCUCUCUCCUAAAUAAAAAAGAUUCAUCGCAAAUUGAUCUACUUGGACCUGCUCCUGAAGACCGAUGGGGCUCAGGGACCACAGACCCCAUUAAGGUAUCCUUCUCAGAGCCCCAAGUCCCACUGGAGGUUUCAGGUAAGACAGUCUCUGUACUUGUGGACAUACAGGCCAUGUAUAGGAUUCUUCUUGAGUUUUCAAGCCAUUAUAUUAAAUCCUCAGUCUCUGUCACUUUUGGCUGUAGUGGCACCAAUGGCAUCAAACACAGCCUAGAAAAUGACAGAGUGAGCUAACUAUUAAUUUACUAUUUUUAAUCAUAUGAACUAGAUUUGUGGUUAUAUAAUAGAGUCUAAACAAACUAGAAAUGUAUAUAUAGUGUACAAGUCAUCAGUAUGCCGAUUUUCCCUCAGAGGUUAAAAUUUAAAAUGAGUUAAGAACAGAAUAGAGAAGUAGAGGAAGAGAAAGAGAUCAGAAGUAAGGUUGGGGAACAAAGGGAGAUCACACUAAGCUUGGGGAAUUGCUGCUGAAGACAGGAGGGAAAAAGAGAAGAAAGACAUAAAAAGAAAAACAUACUAGAACAACAACCACCAAGAGGCUAAAACAGACUCAUGUAAAAGUAAGAUCAAACAAUGGAGGGAAAACCAAAGACUAAAUCACCACCACUAUAACAAAAAACAACAUGGAGAGAGGAAAAAACAGACAAGAAGAGAAUAGAAAAAGUCCGCUUCCAGGAUUGUUUCUGCUUUCACUGAUAGACAGUGUGUGACAACAGAGUCCUGAUCCAUUGCUGUCCAGCCCAGCAAGCCAGAAGAAGCUUUUUAUUGGGGCAGUGGAUAGUCUCAGUGAGCCUGCACUUUCUGGCUAAGAUCAGACUCAUGCGGCCUGCAGCUCUCUGCACACCUUCUGUGGUCCUGAGUCCGGAUGGGAGCCGCUAGAUGGAGCCAGCAGCAGCUCUGAGUUCUGAGGUCAGCCAGCCCCUCUCUUAGAUGGUCCCAGGCCAAUUGUUCUCUCACUACAGGGUGACUGAGCCUUCAGCACUCUCUGCCAGCCAAUGCAGUCCUUCAUACCCACUACUGCCCCUGUCUGCAGAGGCCGCUGAGGUCCCAGCCAUUCCCGUGUGUGCCCAAGUUUGAACUGCUCCCAAGCUGAGUGUGCGUUUGCGAGAUGGUGCAGGUGGCUCCUUCUUUUUUGCUGAAAUUUUUCUCUUCAUUCUCGUCAUGGGCUUCAAUUCUCACUUUGGUUCCUUUGUGGGUCCAGGGGACCCACUUCCCUUCACUUUGUCUUCUCAUGUUGCUAUAUUCCAGUGUCUGGACAGCAACUCUCUGAGAGGAUCUUUCUCUGCUGCUUAUUCCUCCACCGUCUUGGUCUCCCCCGACACCAUCGUGUUUUACAAGCACUCAGCCACAGGCACACCCGUGUAAUGUGUCCACACCCAUUACAGACACCAGUGCUCCAGUGGCUUUGGAUCCUGAAGUGCACAGUUCUUCUUUGCAGUGGCUGGGGACACAUAGCCUGGACCUCCCUACUCCUCCAGCUGGGUCCUUCCACAGGACCUUACCUCUUUGGUCAGUUUUUAGGCCAUCUGAUGACCAUUACAACUUUCCCCUAAAAUUUGCUUCCAAACAAUAAAAAACAUAAGGAUUGGCUUAUACUCUCAUGGAGUUUCACACACACACACACACACACACACACACACACACACACGCCAGCUAUGAUGUCACUGGGGAUAGGAGACUUUAGCAUCACUGCAGACUGAUGAGACCAUUGUCAUACCUGUGAUCUGUCACUAACCUUAUGUCAUUGGGUGGCAGAUGACCACCUUAUGUAUAAUACUUAUCUCCAGGUAAGAUGGGUACAGGCCCUUGCAGUCCACCCAAAGGAAGGACGUUUGCUUUCCAGGCUUUGCCUCUUAAACUUCAGGUACCCACUUUGAUCCAAAUAGGGAUGAUGGAGACACCCAGUGUUGGCAGUGAAGAGCCCUCUCGGUGACCUGGGGCCACAGGGCCCAGAGGAGGAAUGACAUCCUGAAGACUUCUCUCCUUUCACCCCACCCUGUCCUCUCUUAGGUGACCCAAGGGCAGAAGUGAGAAACUGAGCAGACACAACUGUUGCUUUGCUGAUGCAGAGUCUUCCUCAGCAAGAGGUGCUGUCCUGGCCCAAGUCUCACCCUGCUAAGGCACAGCCCAUUCAGCAGACCCUGACUGUGGGUUGCAGGCUGGGUCUCCUGCCUCUGGCAGUUCCCACUCCCCAGGUCCUGGCUGCACCCAGUUCCACUCCCCUCUGCUCUCUCCUGCUCAUGGAGGUGUUCUGGAGCCCUGCAGCCUCUCUGUGUUCCACACAGGCUGUUGCUGGGACCUCGGAGAGGAGAGCAAGGGAUCUGCAGGGAGAAGGAGUGGACAGAUAGUGCUGGAGACGGGAAUCGAGUUUUCCUUAUUAAAGGGCCCUGGUAACUCCUGCUGUUGGAUACUACAUGGCUUAUGGUUCUCUUUUUAGUGAAUAAAGGAAAGAAUUAGUGACCUGUUAAGAAGAAGAAGAAA